rnacentral:rRNA from 1 species
CCUACGGGAGGCAGCAGUGAGGAAUAUUGGUCAAUGGGCUUACGCCUGAACCAGCCAAGUCGCGUUAGGGAAGACUGCCCUAUGGGUUGUAAACCUCUUUUGUCAGGGAGCAAUUGGCGCUACGUGUAGCGUUAUCGAGAGUACCUGAAGAAAACGCAUCGGCUAACUCCGUGCCAGCAGCCGCGGUAAUACGGAGGAUGCGAGUGUUAUCCGGAUUUAUUGGGUUUAAAGGGUGCGUAGGCGGAAUGCCAAGUCAGCGGUAAAAUCGCGGGGCUCAACCUUGCUCCGCCGUUGAGACUGGCGUUCUUGAGUGGGCGAGAAGUAUGAGGAAUGCGUGGUGUAGCGGUGAAAUGCGUAGAUAUUAGGAGGAACACCGGUGGCGAAGGCGGCUUACUGGACCGUAACUGACGUUGAGGCUCGAAAGCGUGGGGAGCAAACAGGAUUAAAUACCCGGGUAGUC